CCUACGGGUGGCAGCAGUGAGGAAUAUUGGUCAAUGGGCGCGAGCCUGAACCAGCCAAGUCGCGUGAGGGAAGACGGUCCUAUGGAUUGUAAACCUCUUUUGUCGGGGAGCAAAAGACGCCACGCGUGGCGUUUCGAGAGUACCCGAAGAAAAAGCAUCGGCUAACUCCGUGCCAGCAGCCGCGGUAAUACGGAGGAUGCGAGGGUUAUCCGGAUUUAUUGGGGUAAAAGGGUGCGCAGGCGGAAGAUAAAGCCAGCGGUAAAAUUGAGGGGCUCAACCUCUUCGAGCCGUUGAAACUGGUUUUCUUGAGUGAGUGAGAAGUAUGCGGAAUGCGUGGUGUAGCGGUGAAAUGCAUAGAUAUCACGCAGAACACCGAUUGCGAAGGCAGCAUACCGGCGCUCAACUGACGCUCAUGCACGAAAGUGUGGGUAUCGAACAGGAUUAGAUACCCCAGUAGUC
rnacentral:rRNA from 1 species